rnacentral:rRNA from 1 species
CUACGCACUCCUACGGGAGGCAGCAGUGGGGAAUAUUGCACAAUGGGCGCAAGCCUGAUGCAGCCAUGCCGCGUGUAUGAAGAAGGCCUCGGGUUGUAAAGUACUUUCAGCAGUGAGGAAGGUGGGUAUGUUAAUAGCAUAUUCAUUUGACGUUAGCUGCAGAAGAAGCACCGGCUAACUCCGUGCCAGCAGCCGCGGUAAUACGGAGGGUGCGAGCGUUAAUCGGAAUUACUGGGCGUAAAGCGCAUGCAGGUGGUUUGUUAAGUCAGAUGUGAAAGCCCGGGGCUCAACCUCGGAAUUGCAUUUGAAACUGGCAAACUAGAGUACUGUAGAGGGGGUAGAAUUUCAGGUGUAGCGGUGAAAUGCGUAGAGAUCUGAAGGAAUACCGGUGGCGAAGGCGGCCCCCCUGGACAGAUACUGACACUCAGAUGCGAAAGCGUGGGGAGCAAACAGGAUUAGAUACCCUGGUAG